AAUCAGAUCAGGGUUAGUCGGGUCCUUAGGCAAACCCGAAAGGGGUAGCUGAUGGCAAGUUGGUUAAUAUUCCAACACCUGCUUUAAAUUCGAUGGAGUGACGGGGUAGUGAAAGGUCCGCGAACUGACGGAAUAGUUCGUUAAAGGGUGUAGUUAUAUCGAUUAUAGGUAAAUCCGUAGUUGAUGGCGAACCUGAUAGUACUGCAAAGCUUCGGCCGCGUAGAUAGUGACCCUAAUCAGACCUCCGAGAAAACCUUCUAAGUUAUGUUUAAAGCAGCCCGUACCGCAAACCGACACAGGCGGGUGGGAUGAGUAUUCUAAGGCGCUCGGGUGAGCCGUGGAGAAGGAACUAGGCAAAUUAACGCUGUAACUUCGGGAUAAAGCGUACCCUCUUCGGAGGGUCUCAGUAAAAUGGUACAACCAACUGUUUAGCAAAAACACAGGGCCCUGCAAAAUCGAAAGAUGACGUAUAGAGCCUGAUACCUGCCCGGUGCUGGAAGGUUAAGGAAGGAUGUUCGGCGCAAGCCAAAGCUUCUGACUGAAGCCCCAGUAAACGGCGGCCGUAACAAUAACGGUCCUAAGGUAGCGAAAUUCCUUGUCGGGUAAGUUCCGACCUGCACGAAUGGUCUAAUGAGUUGUACACUGUCUCCUCCACGAGCCCGGUGAAAUUGUAGUAUCGGUGAAGAUGCCGGUUACCCGUCACGGGACGGAAAGACCCCAUGAACCUUCACUACAACUUUGCAUUGAUUUUGAAUUUUUGAUGUGUAGGAUAGUUGGGAGACUUUGAAGUUGCGUCGCUAGGCGUGAUGGAGUCAACGUUGAAAUACCAACCUUUAAACAUUUAGAAUCUAAUCCCUGACGGGAAACAGUGCAUGGUGGGUAGUUUGACUGGGGUGGUCGCCUCCUAAAGUGUAACGGAGGCUUGCAAAGGUUCCCUCAGUACGGUUGGUAAUCGUACAUAGAGCGUAUUAGUAUAAGGGAGCUUGACUGUGAGACUUACAAGUCGAGCAGGGACGAAAGUCGGCUAAAGUGAUCCGGCGGUUCUGUAUGGAAGGGCCGUCGCUCAAAGGAUAAAAGGUACUCUGGGAUAACAGGCUGAUCUCCCCCAAGAGCUCAUAUCGACGGUGAGGUUUGGCACCUCGAUGUCGGUUCGUCACAUCCUGGGGCUGGAGAAGGUCCCAAGGGUUCGGCUGUUCGCCGAUUAAAGUGGCACGUGAACUGGGUUCAGAACGUCGCAAGACAGUUCGGUCCCUAUCUGUGAUGGGCGCAAGUAAAUUGAGAGGACAUGACUUUAGUACGAGAGGACCGAGUCGUAUGUACCGCUGGUGUAUCUGUUGUGCCGCCAGGUGCAAUGCAGAGUAGCUAUGUACAGAAUGGAUAAACGCUGAAAGCAUCUAAGCGUGAAACCAACCUCAAGAUGAGUUUACUUUUAAGGGUCGUCAAAGACUAUGACGUUGAUAGGCUAUAGGUAUAAGGGUGGUAACAUCGAAGCCGAGUAGUACUAAUUGCCCGUAAGCU
rnacentral:rRNA from 1 species